rnacentral:rRNA from 1 species
CGGCCUACGGGACGCAGCAGUAGGGAAUCUUCCACAAUGGGCGAAAGCCUGAUGGAGCAACGCCGCGUGGGUGAAGAAGGUCUUCGGAUCGUAAAACCCUGUUGUUAGAGAAGAAAGUGCGUGAGAGUAACCGUUCACGUUUCGACGGUAUCUAACCAGAAAGCCACGGCUAACUACGUGCCAGCAGCCGCGGUAAUACGUAGGUGGCAAGCGUUAUCCGGAUUUAUUGGGCGUAAAGGGAACGCAGGCGGUCUUUUAAGUCUGAUGAGAAAGCCGUCGGCUUAACCGGCGUAGUGCAUUGGAUA